rnacentral:rRNA from 1 species
UAUCAAUAAGCGGAGGAAAAGAAACCAACAGGGAUUGCCCCAGUAACGGCGAGUGAAGCGGCAACAGCUCAAAUUUGAAAUCUGGCCCCUCCCCCGGGGGGGCCCGAGUUGUAAUUUGCAGAGGAUGCUUCUGGCGAGGUGCCUUCCGAGUUCCCUGGAACGGGACGCCGCAGAGGGUGAGAGCCCCGUCUGGUCGGACACCGAGCCUCUGUGAAGCUCCUUCGACGAGUCGAGUAGUUUGGGAAUGCUGCUCUAAAUGGGAGGUAUAUGUCUUCUAAAGCUAAAUACCGGCCAGAGACCGAUAGCGCACAAGUAGAGUGAUCGAAAGAUGAAAAGCACUUUGAAAAGAGGGUUAAACAGUACGUGAAAUUGUUGAAAGGGAAGCGCUCACGACCAGACCUGGUCCCGGCGAAUCACCCGGCGUUCUCGCCGGUGCACUUCGGCGGGCUUCCAGGCCAGCAUCAGUCCGCGCCGGGGGACAAAGGCGGCGGGAACGUGGCUCCCCAGGGAGUGUUAUAGCCCGCCGCGCAAUGCCCCGGGGGCGGACUGAGGACCGCGCGUCACCGCAAGGAUGCUGGCGUAAUGGUCGUCAGCGACCCGUCUUGAAACACGGACCAAGGAGUCGUCCUCGUAUGCGAGUGUUGGGGCGUCAAACCCCCGCGCGUAAUGAAAGUGAACGGCAGGUGAGAGCCCUCGCGGGCGCAUCAUCGACCGAUCCUGAUGUUCUCGGAUGGAUUUGAGUAGGAGCAUACGGGGCCGGACCCGAAAGAAGGUGAACUAUGCCUGUGUAGGGUGAAGCCAGAGGAAACUCUGGUGGAGGCUCGCAGCGGUUCUGACGUGCAAAUCGAUCGUCAAACAUGGGCAUGGGGGCGAAAGACUAAUCGAACCUUCUAGUAGCUGGUUUC